rnacentral:rRNA from 1 species
CGCUGGCGGCAUGCCUAAGACAUGCAAGUCGAACGGAGCGCCCACUGAAACUGGAUGAAGUCAAAGAGCUUGCUCGGAGAUGGAUGAAGGUCGAUGUGGAUUCUGCGCUCAGUGGCGAACGGGUGAGUAACACGUGGGUAAUCUGCCUGUAAGUUGGGGAUAACAGUUAGAAAUGACUGCUAAUACCGAAUGUGCUAGAAAUAGUAAAGGCGCUUCAAAGCGUCGCUUAUAGAUGAGCCUGCGGUGUAUUAGCUAGUUGGUGGGGUAACGGCCCACCAAGGCGACGAUCAGUAGCCGGACUGAGAGGUUGACCGGCCACAUUGGGACUGAGAUACGGCCCAGACUCCUACGGGAGGCAGCAGUGGGGAAUAUUGGGCAAUGGACGCAAGUCUGACCCAGCAACGCCGCGUGAAGGAAGAAGGCUUUCGGGUUGUAAACUUCUUUUAAGGGGGAAGAGUAGAAGACGGUACCCCUUGAAUAAGCCACGGCUAACUACGUG